CCAAUAGCGUAUAUUAAAGUUGUUGCAGUUAAAAAGCUCGUAGUUGAACCUCGGGGUCUACCCAUUGGUCAGGCUUAAUUGUCUGCACUGGUGAGAUGGAUCUCUACCUUCUGAGGAACUUUCAUGCCAUUUAUUUGGUGUGAUGGGAAAUCAGGACUGUUACUUUGAAAAAAUUAGAGUGUUUAAAGCAGACUAUCGUC
rnacentral:rRNA from 1 species